UACGGGGGGAGCAAGCGUUGUUCGGAUUUACUGGGCGUAAAGGGCGCGUAGGCGGCCAGCACAAGUCAGUUGUGAAAUCUCCGGGCUUAACUCGGAAAGGUCAACUGAUACUGUGCGACUAGAGUGCGGAAGGGGCAACUGGAAUUCUCGGUGUAGCGGUGAAAUGCGUAGAUAUCGAGAGGAACACCUGCGGCGAAGGCGGGUUGCUGGGCCGACACUGACGCUGAGGCACGAAGGUCAGGGGAGCAAACGGG
rnacentral:rRNA from 1 species